ACACGUAAAGUAGACCCUCAUCUCCUCCAGGUUACCACCCCAGCUUGGGACGUCCUGCUCGGACUGACAGCCAGCCUCCAGCAUCGAGGGCCGGACAAAAGCCUAGCCGGGGGGCGUACAACAUUCCAAAGCCGAGAAACAACACCGGAAAUCACGCUCGGCGGCGGCGGCGGCGCGCCCCGGACUCCCACCUCCACAACACGGCGCUGACUUACGUGGUGCUCGGAGGAGUAUGGAGGUAUUCCAACAAGGCAGAAGGCAACUCCAUUCAUUGGGCGAAGGAGACUGUUGGACCGCGGCCGCAGGGGAGUCCACUGGAGGGUCCAACGUGCGGGGCACAGCCAGGGGAAGCUUACUCAUCAGGAGAAGAGGAAGCUCAGCCUGCUGCCAAGCUACGCUACGCCGUCAUCGUCAUCAUUAUGAAACACGAAUGAAAGAAUGACCUUUCACCCCAGCUGUCUACCACAAGCCUCGCAGGUCACAUUGUUGCUUUUCACACGUUGAGACGUCCCAAUAAGGAGAAAAGAUGAGGAUGUCGGGCUUUGAAGAAGCCGGAAUAAACUAGAAGUGACUCGCUUGGGGGUAUUCCAAGGUUGCUAAACACGGGAACUGUUGCUAUAAAUGCUUGGAAGUCCUUCUCCUCUCUUCCUCUGGCAUUUCUUCAGAGAAACACAAAACAAACUCAUAGGAACGCCGUGAGUUUCCUUCCCGCUGCGUGUCACUUGACAACGGCGCUCUACCUUUCACAGCUCCUACUUCCUGGCCGCGCUGUCACUUCCUGCGGCAGGGCUGAAAGUAGGGGAGGCGAUGGACAAUGAAAACAUCAUUAGCCUUUGAGUCACAUUCAGGAAGCGGCCCGUCUCUUUAUGGUGGACAAUAUUGACUUCUCACGUCCCUGCUGGUCAAGCGUGAGUCAGGAGCAUCCCAUAAUAACUCCGCUGGAAUUGCUGGAAAGUGUACGCAACGCACCGUGUGGGUAUUUUUGGACGUUGAGUAUCUUGGUGGGCUUUUUUUGGUGACGUAUCCUGCCAUUGUUACAAAGUCACAAACCGUUUUGUUUGUGUGUGUGUGUGCGAAGCCACAGUGAUGGAAAGAGCGUGAUGAUAACCAUAGAGACAGACAUGAAGCUCACUGUGGCG